GGCCGGUUAGCUCAGUGGGUUAGAGCAUGGUGCUGAUAACACCAAGGUAGCGGGUUUGAUCCCUAUUCAGUCCC
rnacentral:tRNA from 1 species